UACAGAGGGGGCAAGCGUUGUUCGGAAUUACUGGGCGUAAAGGGCGCGUAGGCGGCCUGUUAAGUCGAACGUGAAAUCCCCGGGCUCAACCCGGGAACUGCGUCCGAUACUGGCAGGCUUGAAUCCGGGAGAGGGAUGCGGAAUUCCAGGUGUAGCGGUGAAAUGCGUAGGAUAUCUGGAGGAACACCGGUGGCGAAGGCGGCAUCCUGGGACCGGCAUUGACGCCUGAGGC
rnacentral:rRNA from 1 species